CACACCGUGGUGAGGUCACAUGCAGAGGUCCACUUCUACUAAAUGUUAUUUUGACUUGCUUCUGAUUCACUUCACAUUCGCUUUAAAAAGCACUUUGAGUCAUGAGAGUGCAGAAGUAAGCAGAGGAAGUGUCUGCCAAGUGAGGAGUAUGAUGUACCAGAGCGAGACGUUCCAAGGACAAGAAGUACGAUGAACACGGGAACAAUCCUCCAGUCUAGCCAAGAAAUGAGAAAUAUCCUGAGAACCACAGACUGUAAGCCAUCUGGUAUUUCCUGGCAAGUUGACCCACUUAAAACUGGAGAGCUCUCUGGUCUGGAUGGAAUGAAUAUUUGUGGGUACAGAUAAGAUGAAUUGCAGGAAACUGCACAAGGAAUGUAGACUGCACAUUCGCCACUGGGUGGUUCAACAAAGAGGCCAUCUUUGCAUGUGUUAAAGGGAAUAUCCACAUUCUGGUCGGUGUUUACAUUCCACUGCCGGCCAACGUGCAGGAUGCGCAGCACGUGCUCGCCGAUCAGAUCCUGAAUGUGGAGCGGACAUACCCGGACUCCUUAGUUAUUGUCCUCGGGGACUUUAACAAAGGAAAACUCAACCACAA